UGCAGCAUGGAGAGUUUCAGAGAAGGUGAACAAGUUUAAUGAGGACAGACAGCUUAUCAAGUCAAGUCACAUUUCUGUUAGUUAAGGUAAUUAUUACAUUAGUAAUUAUCAUCUGCUACAGCCACCUCAGGCUGUUCACAAACCAACUGUGUCACAUGCUGAGCUGUGUUUUUAACUGGAAGUUUCAGCACCACUGAAUGUCUGGCUGGCACAGUAUGUUUGUCUCUAAGGCAAUCCAAGCUUUGUUAUUUGAGUAGAGCAGGAGAUCUUCAUUUAUUUAAAGAGUGGCUGAGCUCUACUGCUACAGAGGCAUGCAAAACAGCUGAGCUUAAAAAACCUUUCUGGAAGAAUAUUUGCUUAAUUAGAAGAAGGAAGAAGCGUUUGUAACAUGAUCAGAAUUAUUUUAAAAAUAAUCACAAAAGAGAAAGCCGUUUCUAUGUAUGUCUGGCUUUUACAAGGAUAGCUUUCUCAUGAUCAAUUUUUUUGGGGAAAACAAGACAUUGUAGUGUACAGAUUUACAGAGGUAAAUUCCCCCUUGAAAGAUAUUCUGCCUAAUUUUUAUUGCCUAAACAUAUCUAAAAGCAGAAAUACACUCCACAAAGGUCCUUGUCGUGCACUCCUUUCCCCAACAAAACUCUCAUUGGGCCAGAUUCUGAUCUCAGCCACAUUGAUUAUUCUGCUGGUAAUUCCACAGUCACUCCAUUGACGAUGUAUUGAGAUCAGUAACCAAGAUUAAAAACUGGCCCAUCAGCUUCAAUGGGAGGUUUGCCUGAAUAAGAAGAGCAGGAUUGGGCCCUUAGAGGGUUACUUAACCUAUCAGUUAAGAGUAAAUUUAAGUAUGGGGUAAAAAGUGAACUACAAAACCGCCUCAUGUAAACUGUAACCAGAUUAUUCCUUUGUAGACUCUGUUUUAUUUGGAUAUGGUAGCAACAUGCCAAUGAAUCAUAAUUUGUAAAUUAGUUCUGCAUAAAAGAGAAUGCACUGUAUCACAUUUGUAUAUGUAACAAAGAGAACCUGAAUUACAAUUAAGCGCUGUGAAUAUAUCUUGAAUAAAUAAUGACUGUACAGAGUCUUUUCACCGUACUAGUCUUUGGAAACAAAAGAGGCUACUUUUAAACAAGUAGUUAGGAAAAGCCCUGAAGGAACUGUUCACAGUGCUUGGUCUAAAAUCAGAUCCUUUAGCUUUCACUUGGAUGGCCAGGGUGCAGAGAUGCACAUACCUUAGUGCUGUCACCUACUCUGCCCGUCUGCUCCAUCACCAGUACUCAGAGGAUGGUCGUAUUUGCAAAAUUAUGUCAUAUGCAUGCCUUUGAGUGCAGAGUCUUAUAAAUGUUUAUAGUGCCUGCUCACAGAUAGAGGAGGCUGGGGACAGUGCAUACAGAGCUAUGGUAAUAGAAAAAUUUAGCACACUGGGACUAUUUUGUAGACUCAUCAAGGAACGUGAUAAUAAAUUACAUAUUUUUGCAGUCCUCAUUAUUGAAGAAUAGACUAUUAGGGAUGAGGAGGACAGAGUCACAGUAAAUAAUCUGUUUUUAUAUUAUCAGUUAAGUGCUGGGCCUAUCACCCUUCAAAGUAUCCCCUGAAGUAUAACAGUACAGGACAAAAUAGAUCCUUACCAUAUAGAUUAAGAAAUUCAGAUAUAAACUGUUGCCAGAUCCCUGGUUUCUCAAACCUCUCCCACUUUUCCAAAACCCAACUUGUACAUCUGUUUGAUGAAUUAAUGGUUCUGAUGUCUGAACUUUGAUGUUGAACAAUACAAGAUGAACUACAGAUCAACUUGAUAAUAACACCACCAUGCCCAGAAGCCAAGAAAGUUAUGAAGGAGAUAGAGAGGUGGUGUUAUAAUAAGUAGGAUUAUCAUGGAGUGAAUGAAAUUAGGACCCAAAAAUACAGACGCCUCAGAUAAAAAAAAAAUAUAGGACAGAAACAAGAAGCUUAAGUGUGAACUGUGGGUGAAAAGGAAAACUCCCAAAUGUAAUCUACAUGAGAAAUAUACUUAUUUAGAACUAUGGGGUUCUCUAAACGUAGGAUUGUUCACUCUUGGGUCACAUGCUUACAUGUAAAUCUUGGCAGCCUUCACAUGGAGGUAGUUUGCACAGGCAUUCCUUUAUCACAAGCACUUUCAUCAAAUUUAUCUUUCAUCUGUCAGUCUUCUUCCUGAUUUAAGCACCCUAGGCUGAGCACAUAUUCUCAGUGCGAUAGACGUGAUCACUAUAGAAUGAACGAUGCAGGCCACGUUUUUCUUUAUUAACAGAUUAAAAAGUCUGCAUGCAGUUUGAGGCAUUUGUACUCUUGGAUAUUACAAAUCAAAACAGAAUACUGGGAUCUGAUGCCACCCACUAGACACAAUAUCCAAGCAACCAGAAAAAAACACCUUAUAUUCUGAUUUCCUAAUGUAAUGAGUGAUAUUUAAAUAUGAUACAUGUAUGCUGGUGGAUGGAGAUACAUACACAAGGGAAAGAGAAUGAAUGACAGGAAUAGAAGGACCACAGAAAAGAAAAAUGACAUGAACUCCCAGGGAUUUGCCCUGCAGUUCUCCAUUGCCUUGAACAUGGGUCAUUUUAGGUAUAAGACAAAUAGUGGUUGUACAGGAUGCCACAUUUCAGGGGUUGUCAUGAAUCAGAAGGGAGGUCUGUCUGCAAGAAGAAGUCAUCCAGCCAGAAAGGUCAGACAGCCGGAAGGCUUGACUUCAGGAUCCCAUUCCAGAAAGUACGGACCACAAGGCAGUCAGCCAGCUGGACAGAAGACAAGCUCCAAAAUGAGGGAAAACUAAAGAGCUGGGGAAGACAAAAUGAUAACGGUGGAUGGAUGCAUAGAAAGAAAGCGAGAUCUGCUAUUUUGACUCAGGGAAAGUGGGGCCCUCUAAAAAAAAA